rnacentral:rRNA from 1 species
GUCCACGCCCUAAACGAUGGAUACUAGACGUAAGAGGUAUCGACCCCUCUUGUGUCGCAGCUAACGCACUAAGUAUCCCGCCUGGGGAGUACGGCCGCAAGGUUGAAACUCAAAUGAAUUGACGGGGACCCGCACAAGCGGUGGAGCAUGUGGAUUAAUUCGAUACUAACCGAAGAACCUUACCCAGGUUUGACAUUGAAGGAAAGCUUGAGAGAUCAAGCCCUCGCUCACAAGGCGACCUGAAAACAGAUGUUGCAUGGCUGUCGU